rnacentral:ribozyme from 1 species
UGAGGCAGAAAAAGAGAAGGGGAGAAAGCCUGAUGCCCCGGCAGCAUCAGCAGGAUCAGGGGGGGGGGAAAACAAGAGAAAUAAGAGGAGAAAGAGGAAGAAGAAUCAACAGAAAGAGGAGGUGAGCAAGGCUCACACUUUUGUUUUGCCUUCUAU